GCCGUCGUGGACCAUGGUGGUCACCCUCGUUUAAUUGAAAGUUGUCUGCAUUAGCUUGAACAGGGAGACGGGGGUUCGAUUCCUCUUGACGGCA